rnacentral:rRNA from 1 species
AAGCAGCUUGCUGCUUUGCUGACGAGUGGCGGACGGGUGAGUAAUGUCUGGGAAACUGCCCGAUGGAGGGGGAUAACUACUGGAAACGGUAGCUAAUACCGCAUAACGUCGCAAGACCAAAGAGGGGGACCUUAGGGCCUCUUGCCAUCGGAUGUGCCCAGAUGGGAUUAGCUAGUAGGUGGGGUAACGGCUCACCUAGGCGACGAUCCCUAGCUGGUCUGAGAGGAUGACCAGCCACACUGGAACUGAGACACGGUCCAGACUCCUACGGGAGGCAGCAGUGGGGAAUAUUGCACAAUGGGCGCAAGCCUGAUGCAGCCAUGCCGCGUGUAUGAAGAAGGCCUUCGGGUUGUAAAGUACUUUCAGCGGGGAGGAAGGGAGUAAAGUUAAUACCUUUGCUCAUUGACGUUACCCGCAGAAGAAGCACCGGCUAACUCCGUGCCAGCAGCCGCGGUAAUACGGAGGGUGCAAGCGUUAAUCGGAAUUACUGGGCGUAAAGCGCACGCAGGCGGUUUGUUAAGUCAGAUGUGAAAUCCCCGGGCUCAACCUGGGAACUGCAUCUGAUACUGGCAAGCUUGAGUCUCGUAGAGGGGGGUAGAAUUCCAGGUGUAGCGGUGAAAUGCGUAGAGAUCUGGAGGAAUACCGGUGGCGAAGGCGGCCCCCUGGACGAAGACUGACGCUCAGGUGCGAAAGCGUGGGGAGCAAACAGGAUUAGAUACCCUGGUAGUCCACGCCGUAAACGAUGUCGACUUGGAGGUUGUGCCCUUGAGGCGUGGCUUCCGGAGCUAACGCGUUAAGUCGACCGCCUGGGGAGUACGGCCGCAAGGUUAAAACUCAAAUGAAUUGACGGGGGCCCGCACAAGCGGUGGAGCAUGUGGUUUAAUUCGAUGCAACGCGAAGAACCUUACCUGGUCUUGACAUCCACGGAAGUUUUCAGAGAUGAGAAUGUGCCUUCGGGAACCGUGAGACAGGUGCUGCAUGGCUGUCGUCAGCUCGUGUUGUGAAAUGUUGGGUUAAGUCCCGCAACGAGCGCAACCCUUAUCCUUUGUUGCCAGCGGUCCGGCCGGGAACUCAAAGGAGACUGCCAGUGAUAAACUGGAGGAAGGUGGGGAUGACGUCAAGUCAUCAUGGCCCUUACGACCAGGGCUACACACGUGCUACAAUGGCGCAUACAAAGAGAAGCGACCUCGCGAGAGCAAGCGGACCUCAUAAAGUGCGUCGUAGUCCGGAUUGGAGUCUGCAACUCGACUCCAUGAAGUCGGAAUCGCUAGUAAUCGUGGAUCAGAAUGCCACGGUGAAUACGUUCCCGGGCCUUGUACACACCGCCCGUCACACCAUGGGAGUGGGUUGCAAAAGAAGUAGGUAGCUUAACCUUCGGGAGGGCGCUUACCACUUUGUGAUUCAUGACUGGGGUGAAGUCGUAACAAGGUAACCGUAGGGGAACCUGCGGUUGGAUCACCUCCUUACCUUAAAGAAGC